GAUGAACGCUGGCGGCGUGCCUAAUACAUGCAAGUCGAGCGAACAGACGAGGAGCUUGCUCCUCUGACGUUAGCAGCGGACGGGUGAGUAACACGUGGAUAACCUACCUAUAAGACUGGGAUAACUUCGGGAAACCGGCGCUAAUACCGGAUAAUAUAUUGAACCGCAUGGUUCAAUAGUGAAAGACGGUUUUGCUGUCACUUAUAGAUGGAUCCGCGCCGCAUUAGCUAGUUGGUAAGGUAACGGCUUACCAAGGCAACGAUGCGUAGCCGACCUGAGAGGGUGAUCGGCCACACUGGAACUGAGACACGGUCCAGACUCCUACGGGAGGCAGCAGUAGGGAAUCUUCCGCAAUGGGCGAAAGCCUGACGGAGCAACGCCGCGUGAGUGAUGAAGAUCUUCGGAUCGUAAAACUCUGUUAUUAGGGAAGAACAAAUGUGUAAGUAACUAUGCACGUCUUGACGGUACCUAAUCAGAAAGCCACGGCUAACUACGUG
rnacentral:rRNA from 1 species